UACGUAGGUGGCGAGCGUUGUCCGGAAUUACUGGGUGUAAAGCGCGUGUAGGCGGGAGGCCAAGUCUGCGGUGAAAUCGCUCGGCUCAACUGGGCGGGGUCCGUGGAAACUGGUCACCUGGAGGACGGUAGAGGCGAGUGGAAUUCCCGGUGUAGUGGUGAAAUGCGUAGAGAUCGGGAGGAAUACCUGUGGCGAAGGCGGCCUACUGGGCCGGACCUGACGCUGAGACGCGAAGGCGUGGGGAGCGAACGGG
rnacentral:rRNA from 1 species